ACUCCCGUGGCGCAGUGGUAGCGCGUCGUUCUUAUAUGUGGUCGUUGCACCAAUAUGGCAUCAUUUGCAAUGCGAAUGUCGUGGGUUCGACCCCCACCGGGAGUA